AUGAACGCUAGCGACAGGCCUAACACAUGCAAGUCGAGGGGCAGCACAAGGAGCAAUCUGAGGUGGCGACCGGCGCACGGGUGAGUAACACGUAUGCAACCUGCCUGUAAGCGGGGAAUAACCCGUUGAAAGACGGACUAAUACCGCAUAAUACUAAAUUACUGCAUGGUAAUUUAUUUAAACAUUUAUGGCUUACAGAUGGGCAUGCGCAUGAUUAGCUAGUUGGAGAGGUAACGGCUCCCCAAGGCAACGAUCAUUAGGGGUUCUGAGAGGAAGGCCCCCACACUGGUACUGAGACACGGACCAGACUCCUACGGGAGGCAGCAGUGAGGAAUAUUGGUCAAUGGACGAGAGUCUGAACCAGCCAAGUCGCGUGCAGGAAGAAUGUCCUAAUGGAUUGUAAACUGCUUUUGCAGGGGAAUAAAGUGCAUCACGUGUGAUGUUUUGUAUGUACUCUGCGAAUAAGGAUCGGCUAACUCCGUGCCAGCCGCAGC
rnacentral:rRNA from 1 species